GUGUCAGCAGCCGCGGUAAUACGGAGGGUGCGAGCGUUGUCCGGAAUCACUGGGCGUAAAGGGCGCGUAGGCGGUCUGCUAAGCGUGCGGUGAAAGCCUGGGGCUCAACCCCAGGUCUGCCGUGCGAACUGGUGGACUAGAGCACUGUAGAGGCGAGUGGAAUUCCGGGUGUAGCGGUGGAAUGCGUAGAGAUCCGGAAGAACACCGGUGGCGAAGGCGGCUCGCUGGGCAGUAGCUGACGCUGAUGCGCGACAGCGUGGGGAGCAAACAGGAUUAGAAACCCUUGUAGUCC
rnacentral:rRNA from 1 species